GCAGGUCUGGAUACUACUUGCAUCUCACCCCUGGUGAGGGUUCCCCUAAGCUGGCCGGGCCUCCAAGAGGGCCUUCUGCCCAGCACGUAGCCCACCACUCCUCCCACACACGUGAGCCAGCCAUACCCUGGCAGGCCCUGCCACCUUCUCUGAACUGAUUCAGCCUGGUAAGGCCUCCAAGAGCGCUGGGAACAACAGACGCGCAGACCUGCGGACAGACAGGAGACAGGGGUAGGGGCUGCGCGCUCAGCGGGCUCACAGGGACUCCGUUCCCUUUUCUGAGUCUAGGCCCUGCUCACCCAAUGUUUUCCUCCCCUACCUCCCCCGCACCCCAGCCGCCAUUUCUUUCCAGGCCUCGGGCACCAAACCAGGAUGCUUCCAAACUGCGUUUGCCUCUUUGUGCCCCUUCCCCCGGAGGCAACCUGUCUCAGCGCCACCCCGUUUUUGCGGAGGUCAGAUGUUUCCAUGGGAGCGGAUUGUGAGAGGGGGUUAUUUCCAGAAUAAGUCUGUGUUUCACUGUCGCACUGCGGGGUCGCUACCCCCAGCCCCCCAUUUCCAGCACUAAAAUGGAUGGAGGGCUCAGUGCAAGGGGCGUCGAGAAGGCGAGCCAGUAAACACCGAUGACUCCCAGAUCUACAGCUCCAGGCUGUUCCCUUCUCCGUGUCUCAUAUCAGCUUUGCCAACUGUUUAUUGGACAUCACCGCCUGAGUAUCCCUGAGGGACACGAUUAUCCUGUUUGGAGUGUAUUGAACUUCUUGGAUACAUCGAUUAGUGUCUUUCCUCAAGUUUGAGUAAUUUGCAGUCAUUUUUCCUUUGAAAAUUCUUUCUUCUCUAUUCUGUUUCUCUCCUUGUUGAACCCCCAUCAUGCAUAGGUGUGCUCUGUUCAUUUUUCACAUUACUUUUAUUUUUCUGCUCCUCGGACUGAAUAAUCUCAAUUGACCUAUUUUAAGUUCACUGAUUCUUUUGCCUGCCCAAACCUACUGUUGUACCCCUCUAGUGACUUUUAGUUAUUGUACUUUUCAAAUAAAGAAUUUCUAUUUAUUUUAUAAUUUCUACAUCUCUUUGUAUUUUUACAUCUUUACUGAUAUUGUGUAUUUGCUGAGACAUUCUUCUCUUUUUCUUUAGUCCUUUGUUUACGAUUUCCUUUAGUUCUUCGAGCAUAUAUAAGACAGUUGAUUAAAAAUAUUUUCUAGAUAUUCUAAUACACGGGCUUUUUCAUGAUAGUAUCUAAUUAUUUCUUUCCUGUGUAUGGGCUAUGUUUUCUUAUUUCCUUAUAUGCCUCACAAAGUUUUGUUGAAAUCUGUAUAUUUUGAUUCUAAUAUGUUGACUCUGGAAAUUAGAUUUUCCCUCUUCCUUGGGUUUUGUUGUUACUCUCUCGUGG
rnacentral:lncRNA from 1 species